ensembl:lncRNA
UAGAAUCAAGAUAUAAUUUAUUGCAACAGUUGCUAAGGAAUCCAUCAUCUCCUAGAAACCAUUUUGAUUAUAAGGGAAUUUCAAACAAUUAAAACAUCACAAUAUUCUGAUGUCAUCACAGUCCACCGAAUACAUUCUGAUGUCAUCACAACCCACCAUACACAUUCUGAUGACAUCACAACCCACCAUACACAUUCUGAUGACAUCACAACCCACCAUACACAUUCUGAUGACAUCACAACCCACCAUACACAUUCUGAUGACAUCACAACCCACCAUACACAUUCUGAUGACAUCAGUCCACCAGAUACAUUCUCCAGAUUGUGUCUUGUUCACAUUGACAGUUAAAGAUGUAAAAGGUAGCAGAGCUGUAACAGAGCUGUAAUGUUGUGAUGUCUAUUGGUGCGUUAGUAAAUUCACUCUGACUAUCUAAUCCUAUUCCAGAGCACUCAUCGUCUGAGUGUACCAGAGUCCAAAAUAACUGAUUAAUUUACGAGCACCCAUUGAAUAUGAUCAGUGUCAGUAAACGUUGGCAAAGAAAUAUAAAUAUAUUGUUGUCAGCAGCACAAUUACAGUCACCAAUGCUCUGGAUAACAUGAAAACAUCCUAUCCAGCUCUGCUAUGGUAAAUGGUCAGAGUGAGGUGUUGUUUCAUUUGUGUCUGGAAGUAGCUAGCAAGCUAGUCAACUUUAGCCAGUUAUCUUGGGUGCUUGACAGCCGUUGUUAGGUCAGAACGCUGAGCUGAUUAACCGCCAGUGUCCAGUGUGAGCUCUGAUUAACCGCCAGUGUCCAGUGUGAGCUCUGAUUAGUCCAAGAGUGAAACGCUCUGAAUUUACUAAUUCUGCACUCUUGCACUCCAGAGUGAAUUUACAAACAAACCCUAUAACUAGUCUGGUUGUAGUCUUUUCUAUAUGAGGUAACACAGAGACCUAUAGCUACCAGGGCUGGAUGUAUUAUUGUUAAAUUUAGUUCACUUCAAUUCAGUCUAUCCCUAACCCUAACUUCACUGCAUGGGAAAUUAAACCAGUUAUGCGUUUGUUGAAGUAGAUGGCCUAUUGCAGGUCAUUCGCCUGGUGGAGUUGUCUGUAGCUGACAGGGUUAGGUGUAGUCUGGUAUAGCUGUCUGUAGCUGAUAGGGUUAGGUGUAGUCUGGUAUAGCUGUCUGUAGCUGAUAGGGUUAGGUGUAGUCUGAUAUAGUUGUCUGUAGCUGAUAGGGUCAAGUAUAGUCUGGUGGUAGUUGUCUGUAGCUGAUAGGGUUAGGUGUAGUCUGGUAUAGUUGUCUGUAGCUGAUAGGGUUAGGUGUAGUCUGGUAUAGCUGUCUGUAGCUGAUAGGGUUAGGUGUAGUCUGGUAUAGUUGUCGUCUAUCAGUUGAUGAUUUACGUUGGGUCUGGUAUUUGUAGUUCAUCAGUAGAAGCUGCAGGGUGGGUGUGGUAGUUGUAGUCCAUCAGUAGAAGAUGCUGGGUGGGUGUGGUAGUUGUAGUCCAUCAGAAGAAGAUGCAGGGUGGGUGUGGUAGUUGUAGUCCAUCAGUAGAAGAUGCAGGGUGGGUGUGGGUCUGAUGAGAAACCUGUAGUACUCCUUGAGUAUCCCCAACAGUACACAUUUUAUUGUAUCCCUGGACAAGCACACCUGAUUCAGUACUGGAGGAGAAGUUGGGAAACACCGCUGUAGGACACAGAAACAUAAAGACUUAGCUAGGUUAUCUUUUUCAUAUUUUAAUGUCACCCUUAUUUAACCAUACAGUGUUCACAAAGUUACGCAUUAAAAACAACACAUUUCCAGGGCCAAACAGAAAACCUUUCUACUCAUAACCCAAAUAAGUACUCAUAACCCAAAUGAGUAUUCAUAACCAAAACGUAUGCCGCCAAACAUACCCUCAUAAAACUAACUAUCCUACCGAUCCUCAACUUUAGCAAUGUCAUCUACAAAAUAGCCUCCAACACUCUAUUCAGCAAACUGGAUGCAGUCUAUCACUGUGCCAUCCAUUUUGAUACCAAAGCCCCAUAUACUACCCACCAUUGUGACCUGUACGCUUACUGAAGCUGGAGACUUAUAUUUCCCUCACUAACUUUAAACAUCAGCUAUCUGAGCAGCUAACCGAUCACUGCAGCUGUACAUAGUCCAUCUGUAAAUAGCCCAGCCAAUUUACCUACCUCAUCCCCAUAUUGUUUUAUUUACUUUUCGGCUAUUUUGCACACCAGUAUUUCUACUUGCACAUCAUCAUCUGCUCAUCUAUCACUCCAGUGUUAAUUUGCUUAAUUGUAAUGAUUUCGCUACUAUGGCCUAUUUAUUGCCUUACCUCCUCACGUCACUUGCACACACUGUAUAUAGACUUUCUUUUUUUUCCUAUUGUGUUAUUGACUAUAUGCUUGUUUAUUCCAUGUGUAACUCUGUUAUUGUUUGUGUCGCACUGCUUUGCUUUAUCUUGGCCAGGUCGCAGUUGUAAAUGAGAACUUGUUCUCAACUAGCCUACCUGGUUAAAUAAAGGUGAAAUAUAUAUAUUUUUUUAAGUACUCAUAACCCCUGAUAAGUCUUCAAACCAAAUAAGUACAAAUAACCCAAAUAAGUAUCAAACCCAAAUAAGAAGUCAUAAUCCCAAAUAAAUACUCAUAUACUCUAAUAAAUACUCAUAACCCAAAUAAAU